CCUGGAAUUGAAGGCUUCCUGGUCUGAGGCAAGGACAAUUAUUCCCUCACUGUCAACCCUGAUCUCUGGCUGCAGUAAUGAGUAGAGGAAAUGAAGAAAUAAGAAUGGAAGCAUAAUCAUUUGUCCGAGGUCACAGAGGGAGAUGAUUACACAGCUGGAAUAAACUCUCCUCCUUCAAUACCUGACUACUUGCACCAUCCAGCAGAUAUCCUCUACUACCAAGUCUCAACAGAUGGUUCAGCUGGUCUUUAAUGAACAAAAGGCAUUUGUGUAAUGGACUCUUAUUGCUCAAGAAGAAUUUCUUCCUUCCUGAAACAUGAGGAGAAACUGACAAAAACUGUCUCCUUGACCAAACCCUAGUCAGUUGCCUAUAAGCCCUGUAGGCUGUGACCUUAGUGUCUAUCCUUAUCAGACACGCAUUACACAACCAUAGCAACAGUCUUGCUAAGUUGGUUUAACCAGAACCCCUACCCUUGAUAUCUGAUUUAAUUUAUAAUUCCCCUGAGUCCCCGAGGUGACAUCCAUUCAUCCUGGCCAGCUUUCAAUAAGAAUCCUAUUGGAUUAUUUAGCUAGAAAUCACCCCUUACACUUAAUGCUUCCUUUUAGUAAUUUUGCAUCCACUAACCCCGACCUUGCUCGUUGGCUAUAAAUCCACAAGUUGUCCGUGUUGUGUUUGGAAUUGAUUACAAUUCUAUAUUGAGGUCUCUUUUCCCAUAUUGCAAUAGUUCCUGAUUAAAAUCUGCUUUUGCCCAUUGAUAUGGUUUGGUUGUGUACCCACUCAAAUCUCAUCUUGA
rnacentral:lncRNA from 1 species